rnacentral:misc_RNA from 1 species
AAAAAGAAUACAUAUAAUCGCUUGUUCCCAACUAGUUUGGAAUUGAUGUUUAAUUAUAGUACUGGUCAAAGUUUUAUAGACCAUCCACUAAUUACAGGUAUUAAUCAGUCUGGUAAAGUUCAUUUAGUGGUAGUAUUUUUACAGGUAACAAUUUGCAUUCCCAAGUAAAUUGCAUUAUAUUUCAUCUUCCUUCUUCCCUGUGUGCUCACAGUAAGAGGAGUGGAUUUCAACAUCAAAAGAAUAAAUAAAAAUAAAUCAGAUCAGUACAUGUAUCCUGUGUUCUUUUGGCUCCUCUCUUUCAAGUAUACUGCAAUCUCUUCUCUCUGCAACUGCUUUGAAUGCUACAUGCACAGCAGAAGAUAAGACUGUAGAGCAACCACAAAAUGAUGCUUGGGUUUUAGAAUAGAAUGCUUAAGUGGCUUCUGCAUUUUCUCUCCACUUAAGGACGAUUGGAGCCACCAGCAUCCACAAGUAUACACAAACAGCGAGCCAUUCAUUCACUACUCUGACCCAAGUGCUUGUCCAACCCACAUCAAUUGUCCACUUCUGGAUGGUGUGAUGAGUAUUCCAGCCGAUCAACAGCAUUGCAAAGUACAUUGCUCCUGUGGCGAAGACGAAGUGGAAGAAGCCAUAACCAUAUGGAAGAACAUCAUCCUCAGCUUCUUUUUCCCUCUUCCUGAACUGAAAACAUUGCGAAUCAAUACCAGUAGAAAAUGUUGCAAUAACAAUUGCAAGUAGUGCAACAACAAAGCUCUGCCAAGAUAUGAGAAGAAAGUUGUCAUUCCGAUGAGAAAUUAUUAUGGCUCUAAAAAUGAAAGCUUUUCCGGAGAUUUGAAAUAUUUAUUAAAGACAUUCAGAUUUUUACUAUAAUGGUAAGCCAGUCUGUUCUCUUUGAAGCUUCAGCCUUCUUGAUGCAACUUUCACCUGCUGGUUCACUUCUAAUGGCACACCAGCAGAGGAACACAACAUACAGGCCCAUGAGCCCUGGAGUCAAGAAUCCAGCAUUUAUCUGUUCCAGGAAAGGAAAAUAUCUGUGAAAAACAAUGAAAGAAAAUGAAAGAAAUGGAAGCAAAGGUUAUGGUUAGUACUUUAGGGUGAAGAGAGAUGCUUGUCAUGAGCUGAAGGAGUACCAGUGUCCAAGUGAUGAAGAAAAUGUUAAGGAGGCAAGAUGGUUCUGGUGCAUACCAAAUGUACAUCAAAAUGAUCCCCACUAUGCAUAUAACAUAUGCAGUUGUUGCAAUUAACAUCACAUGGAUGUGGCAUCUGUCUGCACGUUCAUCAGAGACACAACAAUCAUUGAGCCAUGUGAUAAAACUGAUGAUACUUAUUAGCUGAAUCAAGAGAAAGACCCCUGCACCAAAAUGCGCAAUCUCUCCAUAAAGCCUAAUAAAUGUAGAAGGAAUAAAAAAUGUCAGGAUAGUUAAUGCAAUCCACAGCACAAUCUUGGCAAACCACCAUCCUGAAUGCCAUACAUCUCUUGGGUCUUGCAACUUUGAGGUUCUAACAGUUGAAACAAACAUUAUCAUGAAAAAUACAAAGCAUCCCAAGCUCACACGCAGGACUCCUUCAGCACCCAAACAGUUAGAUUUACCAGCACAUACUCUCAGUCUUUCCAUUUCUGACAAAGCACCAUGGCCGUAGUCUCGUGCAGCCCAAGCUAAAAGAUUGGCAAAGAGAAAGAUCAAGGCAUAAACGUAUCUGGCCAUCCAGGGAUUGCAGCCAUUUCUGAAUUGGCGAAACCAUGAAGAGUCCUUAAGUAUAGCUGCAUGCCUCUCAUGUGCACCACACUCCAUUUCUCCUUCAAACCAGCACUACUCUUCAUCACAAACAGCAUAUAGUGUGAAGGAGUUUCAUAUCAUUUCUCCACCUCAACAACAAAGUGUUCUAGAUCUCUAGGAGCAAUGUUUCUUCACGCUAAUCACUCUCUCUCUACAACCCAAGAACACAGUGGCCAGAGAGAGAGAGAGAGAGACUGUUUCUGUUUUCUUGAAACAAGCUGAAAACACAGAACAAGGGAUUUGGCUUGUACUCUUCUGUUAUCGGUUAAUUUUGUCUCAUUUUUUUGCUCUCCUCAGGGUGAAAGAAAAAGAGAAAAAGACAUAGAUAGCGGUUGCUUUUGAGCGCUCUUUUUUCUUUUUCCUUAGCUUUCUUCCUUUUUUCCCGCCGUAAGCUUCCUGUUUCAGCUUCACAUCUUACCUUUCAAGAUAACCCAUGUCAAAUAAGAUUAUCUCCUUUAAUU